UACGUAGGGGGCGAGCGUUGUCCGGAUUUAUUGGGCGUAAAGAGCGUGUAGGCGGCCAGGUAGGUCCGGUGUGAAAACUCGAGGCUUAACCUCGGAGAUGUCAUCGGAAACCAUCUGGCUAGAGUCCGGAAGAGGAAAGUGGAAUUCCUGGUGUAGCGGUGAAAUGCGCAGAUAUCAGGAAGAACACCAAUGGCGAAAGCAGCUUUCUGGGACGGUACUGACGCUGAGACGCGAAAGCGUGGGGAGCGAACAGG
rnacentral:rRNA from 1 species